rnacentral:rRNA from 1 species
UACGUAGGGUGCAAGCGUUGUCCGGAAUUAUUGGGCGUAAAGAGCGCGCAGGCGGUCGUGCAAGUCGCGUGUGAAAGCCCCCCGGCUCAACUGGGGAGGGUCACGCGAUACUGCUCGACUCGAAGGCAGGAGAGGGAAGUGGAAUUCCCGGUGUAGUGGUGAAAUGCGUAGAUAUCGGGAGGAACACCAGUGGCGAAGGCGACUUCCUGGCCUGUUCUUGACGCUGAGGCGCGAAAGCUAGGGUAGCAAACGGG